AUGUGAAGUAGUGACACAUGUUCGUUCGUUUAUUCUCUUACAUUUUCCCUUCAUCUAACGAAGAUGUAAGAAACAAACUUGCAAGGAAAACCCAAAAUGAAACUGUAAGUCUCGAGAGAAUUCUUGUUGACCCUAUAGUUCCUAAUACUCAGAAGAUUAAAGCUUUUGAGGUUUUGUAUGGCUGCUCACAAAAGCUCCUCCUUUUAAUUUUGGAUAACAAUCACCAUAUAUGUUGUUUUUUAAUCUCAAGUAAUUAUAACGGGGAAGAGAAAAAGAAGUUCCCAGAGUAAUAAUCUCGACCUUCUUUCUUCUUCGGUAGAUGACAUGAUGUGCUCGUCGGGAAUGGAGUUACCAUCCAAAGAGAUAGUAGAGAAAAAUCAUUUGGCAGACCAUAAAGAAUCAGUUCUAGCUUGUUUAUGACGGAUGCAACGUCAGCUUACAAGGUGAAGAUGAUUUGUGGCAUAUGUUAGAAGCACUUGAUACGAAAAUCUUAUUUUGUGGAAGACACGUCAGCUUCCAGUGAAUACCCUGUUGUGGCGAUUCUAGUUUGCGAGCAUCUAUAUAAUGCAGAUUGUUUGGAAUAGAUAACAAACAUCGAGUAUAGGCAUGACCCACUGUGCCCUUUAUGUACGAGUUCAUUACCACUAUUGAUGGAAAGCAGUGGUUGCGCAUUCAAAUCGGAGAAACUGAAAAACGCUAAUCUUCUAUAAGCAUAGGGAAUACUUAA